GUUAUGUCGAGUCCUGUCUUUGUGACUUGUCAGGAGUUUGUACAACCAUGGCUUCGUCUGUCUUACCGUUUUUUUUCUCAUUUCUUCAACCAGCUCAGGGUGAUGAAGAGCUCUUUGGAAGCACAGUAUCUGCUUGUUCGGGGACCUGUGGAACCUCAGUUUGUUAACAUCACGCAGUCCCAUCUUCUUGAAGCAGCUUCCAGUGGCUCGGAGUCUUGGUCAGAGCAGACUGGGGAGAAUGGCUCUUCAGCUGCUGAGCGUAUGAGUGUGUGUAUUGAUUCUACUCUGUGUGAGUCCUAGGCUUAUUGGCUGAUGGCUGGUAGGAUACCUGCCCCAGAGAGAGGAACCAGCCGCUCACAGCUGAUUGAUUAUGGACCUCAUCGCCGCUGAUUGCAGCUCCACAUUCACACAAACAACCGGUCCCAACACUUCCAUUGUAUGACAUCAACAUCAUAAAGUGAUUGUGGAUGAAAAUUCACAAGAUUUAGCACUCAUUUAGCACUUUAGCAAGAUUAAGAAGUUUUCAACAUUUAUGUCACAGCAAAGACUGAAAACUUUUUCCUGUCCUGUGCAAAGACAACAAGUAGAUCUGUAUAACUAUAAGUAAGCUAUUAGUUGGCUCAAAUCAGUAAUGUUUUGAGUUUGUGGCAGAACUAUAGGGUUUAUUACACUCAUAUACUAUUAUACAGUUAAGAUUUCAUUUCACUAUCACUUUGUUUAGUAUUUUUUUUUACGUUUCAAACAAAAAUAACUGGCAAAUUUUACAAAUUACGAAAAAACUGCAAGUGACAAAACUGACUAAAACAUUUUCUUUUUAUACUCCAAUAAACUUUCAACUUAAAUUAAAAAAAAGUUAUUCUUUUAGUUUUGGUGUUUUAGGGUUGCCAAAGUUAAAGUGGUAGCAAUUAAAAAGUAAUAUCAUUUAACUGUCAUUUGUAAAUUAUUUGUAUCGUUUUUCAAGUUUGUUGAACAUUUUAUUUAUGCGUAGCGUUAUUAGUAUCUAGUCACAUUUUGUGGAUAUUCUAUUACUUUUCACUUGGCUUCAUUUUAGUUUCAAUUUUGUCACAGCCAUGUUUUUAGGCAACUUGUUUAGUCACUGUUUUAGGGUUCACUACCGAUAAUAACACUGUGCAUUGCGUUUUCUGAAAGAGUGAAGGCGGGUUAAUUGUUUGGGAAUCAACUUUUAUUCGCUUUAGUGCGCAGAACAACACAUUUUGUUGUCUAGUCCGAAACCACUAUAAAUUAUUUAUUUAUUUAUUUUUGCUGACUGAUUGGCUGUUUUCUCUUUCAAUUUCUAGGCCCUUUUUGCAAGCACAUCAAAGCUAGCUGGCCCGUCUUCACAGUGGAGCAUUUCUGCCCUGGUCUGCUCUUCCCAGAGGAGACAAUUAGCCAUCCUUCUGCCACAUGCUCACAUACAGUACACACUCCCUGACCAGCAGCGCGUGUCGUCCAAUUGGAAAAUUGUUACCGUAUAGCGGCAACAAUGUGACUCUUUGUGUCAUCAGCUGGUUGGUAGCCUAAUUCUUCAGCAUGUAAUGUACUUUCUCUUCCUUCCAACAUUUUCAGCUAGACAGAGUAGAUGGAGUGUGUGGUGGGUUUGCACUGACACUGCCGGUGAUUGAUCUGAUUUUAGUAUUCUCCGUUGCCCCAGUGCCCGGCGCACGAGCUGUUGUUGAAGAACGGACCUGGCCAUACAUAUUCAUGAGUAAAGAAGGUCAGGGAAGAGAGGAAGAACACAAACACAAGGGACCAUGUUGAGGCAGUAAAUUCACUCCAGUGCGCCACAGCGGUCGGCGAUAGACGUGACAUUUCGUAGUGCACACACAGAGAGCGGCAGGCGGGCAAGGAGGGGUCUGUCAUUUUUGUUGCGUCGCAAUUGGGUAAUGAUAUACAGGAAGACGCAAAGGAGCUGAUGUGGUCAAGCGAGGUCAUUGAGCUCAUGCCAGAAGAUGCCUACUGUUGCGCCGUAUCCCUUCAGCGUUUAGAGGCCGCCUCUGUUUCCUGUCCAUUCUUUCAAACCAUUACAUAAAUCAAAUGCAGCCAAGGCUCUCUCUGUGCCCUCGUUCCUGGCUCUGCUUCUGAUCGGUUCCGGCUAUUACAUGUCCGUUUUCUUGAUCAGGAAGAUCCAGUCCAAGGUGAUGCCGUCCCAGAAUUCAUUCCUGCAGGGUACAAGAAAAUAAGAGACCAAAUGUGUGUUGCAUCACUUUAUUUUCUGGUUGGCUUUUACUGUAUGGGUGCCAGCUAUACUGAUGAAAUAUAAAAUGGAUAUUUCACCUAAAACUUUUAAUUUUCUCAUUAAUUACUCAAACCCGUGUCAUUUCGAAUCAAUUCCAAGACCUUUGUUCAUCUUUGAAAUACAAAUUAAGAUAUUUUUGAUAAACAGCAACACAACUACGGUGUUUAGGGCCAAGAAGGGUAGUAAGGACAUUGUUAAAAUAGUCCAUCUGACAUUAGUGGUUUAACCGCCAUACUCAUGACAGUACCAAGAAAUUGCUUAAUUAAGUCAUUAUAUUCUUCUUCAUGAAGGUAAUUAAUGAAUUAAAAAUGUUUUAUUAACUCCCAUUAAAAUCAAAUUUUUAAGUCUGUAAGAUUUGUCAAUAAAAACACUAAUAGUGGGAAAUAGUGUUGCAGUUCCAUUUUAAUAUAUUUAAAAUGUACAAUGCUGUAAUGAAUUUAAAUCCAACACACUGAUUUGGUUCUCAAACAUUUCUUAUUAUCAGUUGAAAACAGUUUUGAAAAGCCAGAGAAGAAACAAUGUUUCGAAAUGGCACAACUGAUAUAUAUACACAAUAUGAUAUAUAAUACUUAUAUAUUAUGAUAUAUGGAGCUCACAAUGAAUAAAUAUACGCAGUUUGGUGCAGUUUUCUGGUAUUUAUAUCACCAAAAAGUAAGAUGUCCUUGAAAUGUAAAUCAGUGAGAUGUCUAUGUGAUUAUAAAAGUUAAAAGCAUAGUAGUCACUAUACUAAAAUAAGAUGCAUAUAUAUAUCAGUUGUCAUGAUCAUAUAAGUAUGAUCAUAUAGCUCUGUGGGGUUUUUUUGGGUGGAGGGGAGACAACGUAAUAUAAUGAUGAUUGAGAGAUGAAAACCUGAUCAAAAGCCUGAUAUAUAUGAUACAUUUUAACUUGAAGUGUCUAAAAAUGCUGCAUGGAUAAUAAAGUAAACCUAAGUUGCUUCAGUCCAGUAAGCGUUGAUCAUCAAAUAUCAGCAGCAAAACAUAAAAGAAUAAUCCUCAUGAGAAUGUAACUUAACAAAUGAAAAAAUGGAAUUUAUGGGUUUUGUAUUCGUCCUUUACAUAUGCAAAUGUGUCCACAGGGUAGUGAUCAGUAAUGUUCCCAUGGGCUCCUUGUUGUUACUGGAUCUGUUUAAUCUAGGUUUUUAAAAUUAGCCAUGCGAGGGUGUUUUCAAAAGCAAAACCGCUAAAAUGACUGAAUGCAGCCAGACAGCUAUCAUUCAGGAAUACAUUUAUAAUCAAAACGUUUCUAAUUAUUUCAAGUUUAUUCUUGGUAGUUCCCUCUUGGCCCUAUUUAUGCUCACCAUAAAACAUAUAUUUAUUUAUUGAAUAUAUUAUUAUACUAGUUCAGUAAGCAAACCUCCAGAUCAUCCGAGGAUAAAGCCAGGACCUCUCGCACUUGUAAGAUUUAUUGGGUUUGACCAGGAUGUUCUUGCAUGUGGGAUUCAUGCUAACUAGAGCAAUGGAGGCUAGUGGGAAAAUAGAGAGACUAGUUCAUCAUGUUAGCCUAGUUACCUGAGGCAGACAGAAGAGGCAGGAAAAUCAAUCGUGCCUUUCAUAUGCAGCGUCACUGCCCUCCUCUUACAUAUUCUGCCCUAAUGAUACAAAUGACCACGAGGCACAUGUUGAGCAUGACCCCGUUUCUUACUUACUCAUAUAUAUGUCAUAUUUAGCAACCGCUCCAGCUCAUUUUCUCCAGAACUGUUCACCGGGGUGAUUGUCCCUCGCUUACAUCAGCUUAUUUCAAUAUAGGUCAUGUAAGUUUUAAAAACUCUGACUAGUUAUGUAUGUGCCACGGGUGUCGCAUUAUACUUUUUUCUUGAUUAGAUGAAGGCCUUUGCAUUCAAGAUGGCCUUUCAUUCAUCCUAUAGAGAGGUUCUGAUACCUCAGACGAGCCGGGUCUGAUACCGUCAUCCUCGGGGUUGUCGAAGGUCCCAGGACACUUGGAAAAACUGAGAAUGAUGAGAACAGGCCAGCGCUCGGCCAGAAGUGUGGCCUGGCAAAACCAGCCCUUGACAUUUCCUUGACAUUUGUUGACAUUUCUGAACACAUGUAGAGAGGGAAAGAGGAGUUAAUCAAAACUAGACGAGAAUAUUGAUGCGCAACUGUCAACAGGCAGAGUCAUCUGUACCCUUUCGGUCACGGAGGUUAACUGCAUGAGGUACAGCUGCGCCACUGUUGUCAAUGAUGGGUGACUGCACACGUCAAGAUGAGGGGUACAUGUAAAUUGUAAAAAAAAAAAAAAAUUGGAGCUGAUGGUGUCACCAAAUCUCUUUCUGUACAGUUUUCAUAUUCGGAGGAAACCCUCACCUGUCUUUUGAUGAAAAUAAUAUUAAGAUUACAUGUAACAUAAGAAAUAACGUUAGAAUUUUUUUCAAUAUAAAGUUACAUUGUGCACUGCAAGCAAAAAUCUGUUUCUACCAGGAAGCUUAAGACAGACCCUUAACCUUUAACCUUAACAAGCAACACAAUGAUUGAAAAUAUAAGUAAAACAACAAUAAAUAAAUAAUAAAUACAGAAGAAA